AUUGAACGCUGGCGGCAGGCCUAACACAUGCAAGUCGAACGAGUGGCGGACGGGUGAGGAAUGUAUGGGAAACUGCCUGAUGGAGGGGGAUAACUACUGGAAACGGUAGCUAAUACCGCAUACCAUCGGAUGUGCCCAGAUGGGAUUAGCUAGUAGGUGGGGUAACGGCUCACCUAGGCGACGAUCCCUAGCGGGUCUGAGAGUAUGACCAGCCACACGGGAGCUUAGACACGGCCCAGACGUCUACGUGAGUCAGCAGUGGUGAAUAGUGCACAAUGGGCGCAAGCCUGAUGCAGCCAUGCCGCGUGUAUGAAGAAGGCCUUCGGGUUGUAAAGUACUUUGAGCGGUGAGGCGUUAUCCGCAGAAGAAGCACCGGCUAACUCCGUGCCAGCAGCCGCGGUAAUUC
rnacentral:rRNA from 1 species